AACGCGAAGAACCUUACCUGGGCUCGAACGGCUUAAGAUCAUCUUUGGAAACAGAGACUUCUCGCAAGAGACUUGAGUCGAGGUGCUGCAUGGCUGUCGUCAGCUCGUGUCGUGAGAUGUUGGGUUAAGUCCCGCAACGAGCGCAACCCUUGUCCUGUGUUGCCACCCCGCAAGGGAGCACUCUCAGGAGACCGCCAGCGAUAAGCUGGAGGAAGGUGGGGAUGAUGUCAAGUCAUCAUGGCCUUUAUGUCCAGGGCUACACACGUGCUACAAUGGGCGGUACAAAGCGCUGCAAACCCGCGAGGGGGAGCCAAUCGCAAAAAACCGUUCUCAGUUCGGAUCGCAGGCUGCAACUCGCCUGCGUGAAGCUGGAAUCGCUAGUAAUGGCGUAUCAGAAUGAUGCCGUGAAUACGUUCCCGGGCCUUGUA
rnacentral:rRNA from 1 species